rnacentral:tRNA from 1 species
ACAUUUGUGGUUUAGUAGUAGAACUCUCCCCUUCCAUGUGGGAGACCUGGGUUCUACUCCUAGCUGUUGUU